UGAUGGGGCUUGAACUCACAUCUCCUGAUACCCAAUUCCAAAUCUAUCCAGUGUGCCUACUGUCACUGCUCUGUGAAGCUUGCAGUGGGGCACUAUUAGUGCAAUCACUUCUCCCUUUGGGGUUCAAACCCCAGUCUCCUACUUCCCAUUAGUACUUUGUCAAAACCUGUCCUCUGGUUUCUCAAAAGUUUUCUUUCCCAGCAAAAGAAGAGACUUCUGUUUUAACUUUUCAUUUGCAGGGCCCCACCCCCUGGUUGCCUGCAAUUCUGUAGCCUCUGAAAUGUACCACUAAAAUUAGGAGGUGAAAGGAAGCAUGAUUGUUCUCAAGGAUCACAGAGCACAUGCAUGGAGAACAAACAGCCACUGUGCACCCAGAGUUCCACUACAGCCCUUAUAGGGAAAGAGCCAACUAUCCAACAGCUAUGAGACCUACCCCAUGCCCAGUUCCUUGCAGAUCAUGAGGAAGGCCCACAACCAUGAGCCCUGGAGGUUUGCCAACCUAUUUGCUCCACACAGGUUCCUCCUUGCUCCUGACCAGCAAAAGACUCUUUCUUUGACACAGUACAUCUUCAACACUUGUCCCAAGGAGGCCUGUGCGUCCUCUCUGUAGGCCUCUGGCCAAGGGAGGUUUUUGGGUGCUAUGUUCUGUUACCUUUCCUUCUUCCCUGUUGGGUGUUGUGAUCAAACAUAGGGCAAUGAGCUUAUAAAGGGAUUUGAACCCCCUGCUUGUAGGGAUGCUUGAGGAAGUGCGCCAGCUGUGUCACUGCUGUUUGUGUCACAGGAGCUCAUGAAGCAGUAUCAUUGUGCAUGUGUUGCACUGUACAUAGGGCAGGCGGUUGUCCUGGAGAUAUAUCCUCUAUGUCACUGCAUCUGCUACCUCCAUGUCUACAUGACUUGGAGGUGCCACUGCUGCCAUGGGCCAUAAUGUUACCAUAUAUGCUGAGGGAGUGGCAUUUGCCAUUGCUCUGUUGUUCACUUUUAGAGCAGUAUAUUUAUUCUCUCCACUUUGGGGCUGAAGGUUUAAAAAGGCUGUUUUACAUUAUAGUUAGCUAAUAAAUGAAGUGUAUGUAAGUUAGUUUAAGAUCAAGUGUUAAAUAUAACUAGCACAUCUCCAUUGUUUCUAUUCACAUCAAUAACACUUCACAAAGUCUUUAUUUUCCAGCCAUUUAGCUUAAAACAAGAGUGCCAACCAAUUCUGGAAACUGGUAUGGGAAGCAAUGUCCUUCUAUUACUGUCCACUAUUCAAAGAGGCAUGACAGCUUCCUUCAAGUUUGGCAAACUAAUGAGGAUGAGGAUGACAAAUAGUAAUUACACUGGAAGCAUGCAUGGCAGGCUGAUGCUAAAAUAAAAGAAAGACCCAUUCCCCUUGCAAUAUGUCUUUCUCAAAGACUACAUUUAUUGCCUACUUCAGCUUAUGCAUUCUAUUCAUGGUCAUAGUAAAAAAUAUUGAUUCCCUCCCCCAUUUACAUAAAGGUUCUGUGCAAAAUUGAAUAUGACAGCCCAGACAUCUACGUAAUGGCCUUCCAGUAAGUAUAAAAGCUACACAGAAUAAUCCGUCUCACAGAGAAUACUAAUGUCAGCUUUGAUGCCUCUAGCAAUGGUGUGUUCUGGGAGGGCAAAAUCAGACAGGCUUGUGUGUAUUUAAUGACUGUUAAAAGAGAAAAACAAAAACAAAAUGUUGGUGGCUUCAUCACAUACAGCCCCACUCUCCCAUGCCAUUGGCAAUAAACUGAUCUGUCAUAACUGUUGUAUUUGCAAAUCCAGCCCUUCCUACAUCUGUUAAUAGAGAGACACAAAAACAGAUUGUUUUCUUUGUUUCAAACAAAAUAGGAACAGUGGGUGGUAUUCACUUGUUAUUCUACACAAACUAGAAGUACUUUGGACAUUUAACCCCACCACAUUUCAUCCACAGUCAUAUUCCUCUGCCAUGUCAUAGUGAUUGCCUGGGGUGGGGGUGGGGAUUGAAUGCACAGCACCAACUGAUGGCUUUUGUGUGGUUUUUUUACCAUAAAAAUGACUUCACUAAAAGUGGCAGCUGUCAUAUGAUGGAUAAAAUCCCCGUUCAUGGUUUAUCAGCAUUCGGCAUAAAAGGCUAACUGCCUUACAUGCUAAGCAUCAAUGAACCAUGCAGACUCAUUACACGGCCCACCUAUUUUUUGUUAUGGUGCUUGCUUGAUGCUUAUCACUGUUGAUUGUAAUGAUUUUUAAUUAUUGCAAGUGCUUUAUUCCACCUGUCAUUAGAUGCUCUGAAGACCAUUCAGUCAAAAAGCAACGUAUGAGUAAGAAAGCUAAAUAAAUGACAGAAGUUUCAGAUGUUCCAGUUAUCAAGUAAUAAUUAUAACCAUCACAUGAACACUAUUAGAUGUGAAGUUACUCUCAUGAAAUUUGGAACUGCAGAAUAGGUCCAGAGAACAAAUAGUAAAGUGUUUCAGUUAAUGAUUCUCCAUCAUUCUAUUAUUCAUUGCUACUAUUAAUGGUCAAAUAUAAUAUAAAUGAAGACAUAUCUGUAGUAUCUGAGGUCCUGUAAUUUUGAGGCAGUGCUGUUUGUCAUGCCAGGAAGAUUUUUAUAGAAUUAUUAGUUGAUGAAGCAAACCAUAUGAAGAGUUAGACCACAGGUCAGUUCUACAGAAACAGAUCUAUAGAAACGUAUUAACAAUGUAAGAGAAAUUUGUCUUAAAAAAUAAGAUGGAGUUGUUGGUGUGAGCAUAACUUUUGUUCUGUGCUGGCACAUUAACAGCUUGCUUAUUAACUCUCUUGUCCGUUAUUGUGUGGAUGGAAUUCCAAGAAAGAAGAUUCUUACUAAACAUUAGGAAUAACUUUCUGGCAGUAAGUGCUGUUUGACAGUGAAACAAACUUCCAUAAGAGGUGGGAGACUCUCCUUCCUUGGAGGCACAGGUUGGAUGGCCAUCAGUCAUGUAUGAUUUAGUUGAGAUUCCUGUAUUGCAGGGGCUAGAUUAGAUGGCCCUCGGGGUCCCUUCAAUUCUAUGAUUCUAUGAUUUUCAACAGUAAUGCACACAUCUCUCUCCAAAAUUAGUGGAAUGAUAUACACUAAAAAACAACAACCUCAACUAAGACAUUUACCCCAUUGACUUCAACAGGUGUUUUCAACAGUAUCUUAGUUGUGUCUAAUGAGU